AUUGAACGCUGGCGGCAGGCUUAACACAUGCAAGUCGAGCGGGGGAAGGUAGCUUGCUACUGGACCUAGCGGCGGACGGGUGAGUAAUGCUUAGGAAUCUGCCUAUUAGUGGGGGACAACAACUCGAAAGGGAUGCUAAUACCGCAUACGUCCUACGGGAGAAAGCAGGGGAUUUUCGGACCUUGCGCUAAUAGAUGAGCCUAAGUCGGAUUAGCUAGUUGGUGGGGUAAAGGCCUACCAAGGCGACGAUCUGUAGCGGGUCUGAGAGGAUGAUCCGCCACACUGGGACUGAGACACGGCCCAGACUCCUACGGGAGGCAGCAGUGGGGAAUAUUGGACAAUGGGGGGAACCCUGAUCCAGCCAUGCCGCGUGUGUGAAGAAGGCCUUAUAGUUGUAAAGCACUUUAAGCGAGGAGGAGGCUCUUUUGGUUAAUACCCAAGAUGAGUGGACGUUACUCGCAGAAUAAGCACCGGCUAACUCUGUGCCAGCAGCCGCCGCAGUAA
rnacentral:rRNA from 1 species